CGCCUUGCCAGCCCGCUCAGAACUUAAAGGAAUUGACGGGGCCCGCACAAGCGGAGGAGCAUGUGGUUUAAUUCGAUGAUACGCGAGGAACCUUACCUGGGCUCGAACGUAAGAUGACUGUAGGUGAAAGCUUACAUCUCUUCGGAGCAUUUUACGAGGUGCUGCAUGGUUGUCGUCAGCUCGUGCCGUGAGGUGUCGGGUUAAGUCCCAUAACGAGCGCAACCCCUACCUUUAGUUGCCAUCAGGUAAUGCUGGGGACUCUAAAGGGACUGCCUACGCAAGUAGUGAGGAAGGCGGGGAUGACGUCAAAUCAGCACGGCCCUUACGUCCAGGGCUACACACGUGCUACAAUGGCCGAUACAGAGGGCAGCUACCUGGUGACAGGAUGCAAAUCUCCAAAGUCGGUCUCAGUUCGGAUCGGAGUCUGCAACCCGACUCCGUGAAGUUGGAUUCGCUAGUAAUCGCGCAUCAGCCAUGGCGCGGUGAAUACGUUCCCGGGCCUU
rnacentral:rRNA from 1 species